rnacentral:tRNA from 1 species
GGCGCGAUAGCAAAGCGGUUAUGCACAGGAUUGCAAAUCCGUGUAGGUCGGUUCGACUCCGGCUCGCGCCUCCA